UACUUAUUCAGUGUCGCUCCACACGACGGUCGUGGGUGGACUCCAGCUAGAAAGACGCACGACGGCCCAUCCGUGAGGCGCUCCUAGAACAGCCGGGAAGAAGUCAGACACCCGCGGAAGGAGAAGCAGAGGAGAAACAUGACCCUCUGGCCGUUCAGAACCACAGUCUCCUUCCACGACUGGAAGAGCCUCUCCACCUGCGAACAUUCGGCCCCACCCAGACUGCAGCGAGCGGCCAGGGUGUACGACGAAACCCGGUCACUCAGUAGCCCCGCCUCAGACUCCAAGUUGGAGCCAGGGCCCAGAAGCCGCCAUCGGGCGGCGUUCGCCCCGCCAGCGGGCAGCGGCCACGCGCAGGCGCAGCCGAGGCGCUGGCGGUGUUGCCGGUACCACCCGUGUCCAGGGGUGGCGCCAGAGGUCUCGGCGGAAACACUUCAGGCGGGACUUUGGACGUGGUCCGUGACCAGGCCUCGCCAAGUCCGGUUCUUCAAACCUACCAGCGAUCCGGAGAACCACGCGGUCUCAUUUGAUACAUCUUAGUUUAGCAAUUAAUACAUUAAUCAUCUCUGCUUAGAGGCUGGCUUUUAUGCUCGCAACUACAAACCACGACUGACUCAAGGGCUUAAAAUAUGGGGUGGAGUCUGGAAUUUCGGUACGUGCUAGGCAGAAGCAGUCCGCGAGACCGGCCCCAGAUACGAUCUCCCGGCAGUGACUCUCUGAUGAGCUUCCCCGGUAGGCGACGUUUCACAUGCACCGUGACAGCUUGCUGCUGGGGGAUUCAAGUCCAUCUUGGGUGACUCCACUGAGAGAGGCCCAUGGGACCUUGCGCCUGGUCCCCCUUAGACUUUGCCCCAGGUGCCUCUCCCUUUAUGACUUUGCUAUCACUUCACUAUAGUAAAUCACAGCCGUGAGCAGGACUGUGCCAGUGAAUCAUCACAAUGGGGUGUGUGUCGGAGACCUUGAUGCAGCCAAUGAGAGAGAAAGGAGAGAACGAUCGAUCGGUCAGGCUGGACACUCAUAUCAGGGAAGUCCUUUCGAUACGGGAAGACUGUCAACAUCUCGGACACGGCAAAAUAAGGA